UACCUUAAAGCUAGCUUUACUGUUAUACAUAUUUUACCUACACUAACUUUUAAGAUUUUAUACAUUAAAAACUAAAACAUUUUUCCCCCCUAGUCUGGGAGACAAAAAAGGCACUUAAAGCGAUAUAAGAAGUACCGUAAGGGAAAGCUGAAAUAAAAAUGAAACAAAUAUAUAAGUUAAAAAAAGCAGAGCUUUAUGCUCGUACCUUUUGCAUCAUGGUUUAGUUAGUUUUCUUAAGCAAAAAGAUUUUUAGUUUAAUACCCCGAAACCUGGUGAGCUACUCCAAGCCAGUUUUAUUAGAACGAACCCGUCUCUGUUGCAAAAGAGUGGGAUGAGCUUUGAGUAGGGGUGAUAUUCCUAUCAAGCCAGGUUAUAGCUGGUUGCUUGAGAAAUGAAUUUAGUUCAGCCUUUUUUAUUCUCUUGCCUUAUUUCAUUAUUUUUUUAGGCUUUCAGAUUAAUAAAGAGUUAUUUAAAGGAGUUACAGCUCCUUUAAAAUAAAAUACAAUUUUCUUAGGUGAUUAUAUUUAUAAUAAAGAAGUUUUACUAGUAGGCUUAAGAGCAGCCACCUAUAAAAAGAUAGCGUUAUAGCUCAUAUUACAAAUACUCUUCAAAUUUCAAUAAAUUAUUUAUCCCUAAUUAUUAUCAAGCUUUUCUAUGUUAUAGAAGCAAUAAUGCUAAAAUGAGUAAUAAGAGAUCCGACUCUCUCUUAAAGUACCUUUACCUCGGAAUGGACCCGCCCCCGAAUAUUAACGGCUCUAACUGAAGCCCCUGUAAAACAAAAAAGAAACAAGAAAAUCUUACAUUUUUUGCCGUUUAGCCAACACUGGUGCUUUAAAUAAGAAAGGUUUAAAGAAGAAUAAGGAACUCGGCAAAUCUUAAGAGUUUCGCCUGUUUACCAAAAACAUCGCCUCUUGCAUAUACUAUAAGAGGUCUUACCUGCCCAGUGACGCAAGUUUAACGGCCGCGGUAUUUUGACCGUGCAAAGGUAGCGUAAUCAAUCGUCUUUUAAAUGGAGACCUGUAUGAAUGGUGAAACGAAAACUCAACUGUCUCAUUCUUUUAACCAAUGAAAUUGAUUUCUCCGUGCGGAAGCGGGGAUAAAUCCAUAAGACAAAAAGACCCUGUGGAGCUUUAGACUACCCAGCUUAGAGUUUAAUAACAUAUUUAUAAACACCUAAGUUCUGCUUACAUCUUAGAUUGGGGCGAUCACGGAGAAAGCACACCCUCCCUGAAGAAAUUCAUACGUUUUUAUAAUUAAGAGUUACCGCUCUAAAUAUUAAAAUAUUUGACUUUAUGAACCGGUUUGCCGAUUAACGGACCCAGUUACCCCAGGGAUAACAGCGCAAUCCCCUUAAAGAGCACUUAUCACCAAGGGGGUUUACGACCUCGAUGUUGGAUCAGGACAUCCUAAUGGCGCAUCCACUAUUAAGGGUUCGUUUGUUCAACGAUUAAAGUCCUACGUGAUCUGAGUUCAGACCGGAGUAAUCCAGGUCAGUUUCUAUCUAUGAAAUGUUUUCUCUCAGUACGAAAGGACCAGAGAAAAAAGGCCCAUUCUUUAAGAACGCCUUACCCUGAUUUUAUGAAAAAAUCUCAAAGAAGCGAGGGGGCCGACUUAUAAUAAAAAAAUAAUUU
rnacentral:rRNA from 1 species